rnacentral:rRNA from 1 species
GACAUAGGUGGCGAACGUUAUCCGGAAUUAUUGGGCGUAAAGGGCGCGUAGGCGGCCACGCACGUCCGUUGUGAAAUCGCCCGGCUCAACUGGGCGGGGUCAGCGGAUACGGUGUGGCUAGAGCAAGCUAGGGGGCAAUGGAAUUCCCGGUGUAGUGGUGGAAUGCGUAGAUAUCGGGAGGAACACCAGUGGCGAAGGCGGUUGCCUGGAGCUUUGCUGACGCUGAUGCGCGAAAGCGUGGGGAGCGAUCCGG